UGGAGAGCAAGCCCAGGCUGUGGGCACCGUCUUUGAGGAGCGAAAGCCCUAUUUAGAAGUAAUCAUCAAACGAGACCCUUUGGAUUCAGUCAGACCAGUCAGAAGGUACGCAGGAGGCUGGUUUGGGGUCUCCCAUGACACUGAGCUUUAUCCUGAUGAGUGACCUUGUUUCCGAUGUCAACUGCCCACGUGACACCUUAGUCCUUGCUCUACGCUGCUUGUGGAAGAAGCCUCACGAGUACAGGAGGCCCUGCUACUGGGGUGAUGCGCUUGGCUGUUCUGAGUGCAGAGCGUCUACUCUGGCCUCGGGGAGCACAAAGCAUUUGGAAGGAAGGCAGGCAGAAGUCUCUAGGAUCAGAGCCCAGAGUCCUGGGAAAUCGGCUGAAGCCGUCGGUUGUAAGAAGCAGAAACCAACUCGG
rnacentral:lncRNA from 1 species